GCGGCGUGCUUAACACAUGCAAGUCGAACGGAAAGGCCCUGCUUUUGUGGGGUGCUCGAGUGGCGAACGGGUGAGUAACACGUGAGUAACCUGCCCUUGACUUUGGGAUAACUUCAGGAAACUGGGGCUAAUACCGGAUAGGAGCUCCUGCUGCAUGGUGGGGGUUGGAAAGUUUCGGCGGUUGGGGAUGGACUCGCGGCUUAUCAGCUUGUUGGUGGGGUAGUGGCUUACCAAGGCUUUGACGGGUAGCCGGCCUGAGAGGGUGACCGGCCACAUUGGGACUGAGAUACGGCCCAGACUCCUACGGGAGGCAGCAGUGGGGAAUAUUGCACAAUGGGCGGAAGCCUGAUGCAGCAACGCCGCGUGCGGGAUGACGGCCUUCGGGUUGUAAACCGCUUUCGCCUGUGACGAAGCGUGAGUGACGGUAAUGGGUAAAGAAGCACCGGCUAACUACGUGCCAGCAGCCGCGGUGAUACGUAGGGUGCGAGCGUUGUCCGGAUUUAUUGGGCGUAAAGGGCUCGUAGGUGGUUGAUCGCGUCGGAAGUGUAAUCUUGGGGCUUAACCCUGAGCGUGCUUUCGAUACGGGUUGACUUGAGGAAGGUAGGGGAGAAUGGAAUUCCUGGUGGAGCGGUGGAAUGCGCAGAUAUCAGGAGGAACACCAGUGGCGAAGGCGGUUCUCUGGGCCUUUCCUGACGCUGAGGAGCGAAAGCGUGGGGAGCGAACAGGCUUAGAUACCCUGGUAGUCCACGCUGUAAACGGUGGGUACUAGGUGUGGGGUCCAUUCCACGGGUUCCGUGCCGUAGCUAACGCUUUAAGUACCCCGCCUGGGGAGUACGGCCGCAAGGCUAAAACUCAAAGGAAUUGACGGGGCCCCGCACAAGCGGCGGAGCAUGCGGAUUAAUUCGAUGCAACGCGUAGAACCUUACCUGGGUUUGACAUGGAUCGGGAGUGCUCAGAGAUGGGUGUGCCUCUUUUGGGGUCGGUUCACAGGUGGUGCAUGCCUGUCGUCAGCUCGUGUCGUGAGAUGUUGGGUUAAGUCCCGCAACGAGCGCAACCCUUGUUCACUGUUGCCAGCACGUUAUGGUGGGGACUCAGUGGAGACCGCCGGGGUCAACUCGGAGGAGGGUGGGGAUGACGUCAAGUCCUCAUGCCCCUUAUGUCCAGGGCUUCACGCAUGCUACAAUGGCUGGUACAGAGAGUGGCGAGCCUGUGAGGGUGAGCGAAUCUCGGAAAGCCGGUCUCAGUUCGGAUUGGGGUCUGCAACUCGACCUCAUGAAGUCGGAGUCGCUAGUAAUCGCAGAUCAGCAACGCUGCGGUGAAUACGUUCCCGGGGCUUGUACACACCGCCCGUCAAGUCAUGAAAGUUGGUAACACCCGAAGCCGGUGGCCUAACCGUUGUGGGGGAGCCGUCGAAGGUGGGACUGGUGAUUAGGAC
rnacentral:rRNA from 1 species